GACGAACGCUGGCGGCGUGCUUAACACAUGCAAGUCGAACGCUGAAGCUCAGCUUGCUGGGUGGAUGAGUGGCGAACGGGUGAGUAACACGUGAGUAACCUGCCCUCUUCUUUGGGAUAACGCCCGGAAACGGGUGCUAAUACUGGAUAUUCACUGAUUCUCGCAUGGGGGUUGGUGGAAAGGUUUUUUCUGGUGGGGGAUGGGCUCGCGGCCUAUCAGCUUGUUGGUGGGGUGAUGGCCUACCAAGGCUUUGACGGGUAGCCGGCCUGAGAGGGUGACCGGUCACAUUGGGACUGAGAUACGGCCCAGACUCCUACGGGAGGCAGCAGUGGGGAAUAGUGCACAAUGGGCGAAAGCCUGAUGCAGCGACGCCGCGUGAGGGAUGGAGGCCUUCGGGGUGUAAACCUCCUUCGCUCAUGGUCAAGCCGCAGCUUGGGGUUGUGGUGAGGGUAGUGGGUAAAGAAGCGCCGGCUAACUACGUG
rnacentral:rRNA from 1 species